CGGUCAAUUACGGGGCAUUUACUCCUUUGGCAGAGGGCUAAAUAGGGGAAUGUGACGAGCAUUUUCACGAUUAUGGCCCGCUGCCAAAGGAGAUUUGCCCGGCAAUUCACCG
rnacentral:pre_miRNA from 1 species